rnacentral:rRNA from 1 species
GCUACUACCGAUUGAAUGGUUUAGUGAGAUCCUCGGAUUGGUCCCGGCAUGGUGGGCAACUGCCGCGUCGUGGUGCCGAGAAGACGAUCAAACUUGAUCAUUUAGAGGAAGUAAAAGUCGUAACAAGGUUUCCGUAGGUG